UACAGAGGUCCCAAGCGUUGUUCGGAUUCACUGGGCGUAAAGGGUGCGUAGGUGGCCGGGUAAGUCUAGUGUGAAAUCUCCGAGCCUAACUCGGAAACUGCAUCGGAUACUAUCCGGCUAGAGGAAUGGAGGGGAGACUGGAAUACUUGGUGUAGCAGUGAAAUGCGUAGAUAUCAAGUGGAACACCAGUGGCGAAGGCGAGUCUCUGGACAUUUCCUGACGCUGAGGCACGAAAGCUAGGGGAGCAAACAGG
rnacentral:rRNA from 1 species